rnacentral:sRNA from 1 species
AGCAGCCGCGGUAAUUCCAGCUCCAAUAGCGUAUAUUAAAGUUGUUGCAGUUAAAAAGCUCGUAGUUGAAUUUCGGGGUCAGUAGGUCGGUCGUGCCACAGGUAUGCACUGGUCUCACUGAUUCCUCCUUCCUGAUGAACCGUAAUGCCAUUAAUUUGGUGUUGCGGGGAGACUGGACUGUUACUUUGAAAAAAUUAGAGUGUUUAAAGCAGGCUAACGCUUGAAUACAUUAGCAUGGAAUAACGGAAUAGGACGUUCGAUCUUAUUUUGUUGGUUUCUAAGAUUGACGUAAUGAUUAAUAGGGAUAGUUGGGGGCAUUAGUAUUCAAUUGUCAGAGGUGAAAUUCUUGGAUUUAUUGAAGACUAACUACUGCGAAAGCAUUUGCCAAGGAUGUUUUCAUUAAUCAAGAACGAAAGUUAGGGGAUCGAAGACGAUCAGAUACCGUCGUAGUCUUAACCAUAAACUAUGCCGACUAGGGAUCGGAUGAUGUUAAUUUUUUAAUGACUCAUUCGGCGCCUUA